GACGAACGCUGGCGGCGUGCCUAAUACAUGCAAGUCGAGCGGACUUGAUGGAGAGCUUGCUCUCCUGAGAGUUAGCGGCGGACGGGUGAGUAACACGUAGGCAACCUGCCUGCAAGACCGGGAUAACCCACGGAAACGUGAGCUAAUACCGGAUAUCUCAUUUCCUCUCCUGGGGAGAUGACGAAAGACGGAGCAAUCUGUCACUUGCGGAUGGGCCUGCGGCGCAUUAGCUAGUUGGUGAGGUAACGGCUCACCAAGGCGACGAUGCGUAGCCGACCUGAGAGGGUGAACGGCCACACUGGGACUGAGACACGGCCCAGACUCCUACGGGAGGCAGCAGUAGGGAAUCUUCCGCAAUGGGCGAAAGCCUGACGGAGCAACGCCGCGUGAGUGAUGAAGGUUUUCGGAUCGUAAAGCUCUGUUGCCAGGGAAGAACGUCCGGUAGAGUAACUGCUACCGGAGUGACGGUACCUGAGAAGAAAGCCCCGGCUAACUACGUGCCAGCAGCCGCCGUAAUAC
rnacentral:rRNA from 1 species